rnacentral:snRNA from 1 species
AUCACUUCUCAGCCUUUUAGCUAAGAUUAAGUGUAGUAUCUGUUCUUACCAAUUUAAGAGCUUUGAGAGAGGACAUAUUCUGGAUGAAUACAUUUAAUUAGUGUGGUAAUUCUUAUUUUAAGAGCUGAAUUUCAGAGUGGCAGUAAUGUUC